rnacentral:lncRNA from 1 species
AACCUCCUGCCUCAGCCUCCUAAGUUGCUGUGCCCAGUGAAAGGUAACAUUUGAGCAGAGACCCCAGGAAGUGGAGUAAUGGCCAUAUGUGUAGGAACAGUAUCCAGGUCAGCCCAGUGCAAAGGUCCUGAGGCAUGAGUAGGCCUGGUGUGUGGAGGAACACCAAGGAGAUCACUAUGGAGUAAGACUGAGGAGGAGAGUAGCAGAUGACAUCAGGGAGGUAUUGGAGUCAGAUCAUAUAGGACAUUAUCAUUAAGAUUUGCUGAGUUCUUAGGCUUUUAAGUUUAUUUUAUACCACUAUAGCAUUUAGUCACCACCUCAACCAUAUAUGAUAGGUAUAAUUAUUGUCCCUAUUUUUCAGAUGAGAAAACAAGUUCAGACAAAUUAAAAAGCUUUCUUAAAGAUAUACUGAUAUGAAGUAUAAUGUUCAGGACUUAAAUCCAGCAUAAAAUUCACCCCUAUACUGUUCUAUAUUUAUUUAAUGCUAAAAGAGAACCCCAAGAGAAGGCUUUGGACCCUCCCUUGGGCCACUGCUUUGAAAGGAGAGCAAAAACAAGGGGGCAGAACCCCACCAAGGAAAGGGGAGCCCCCAGGGUGGGAGCUUAUUGCCCUUCCUGUGGUUAGUCUUGGGGAUUCUGUGGUGUGUUUCAACAAGACAGGUAUAUUCCCAAGUAUGUGCCAGGAGGUAAAAACUGAGCUGAAAUCAGAAGGGAGGUAAAAGGAAGCAAGGCUUAGAGGCCAAAGAAGUGUGAAGCUAUGUGGAGUGUGAUAACCAUAGACUGCCCUGUGAACCAGCCACCUCUCAGCAGGUGAUCACCUAAGGAGUGAGUUUCCUUAAUCUCUCAGAAAUUGCAAUUUCCUCUGUUUAGUGGCCUGGCUGGGAGUGAGAGAAAGUCUCAGAAAGCAGUUGGAGGGAGGGAAGCUGGUGCCUUUGUUUGAGCCAAGCUGUGACUAACAGCCUGUUGGAAAGUACAUACAGCUUAUCUUUCCACCUUCCAUCCUGGUGCAAACCUGUAUUUCACAUGAAGGAGCAGAUCUAAAACAAACCACUCAAGGAAGCGCUUAAAGAGUUCACCUGGUACUAGGAUGUAACUGGACAUGAGUACUCUAGUUGUCUCUCUCUCUUCCACAACCAAUGUUUAAUGCACAAAAUCCCUGCUCAUAUAGAGCAAGAAGUGGGGACACUGAAGGUAAAACAAAACAAAAUACCCAAUAUCAAACAGUAGUAAGUCUGUGCAUCGAUGUAAAAGUGUGAUGGCCUGAAUGUUCUCUCUGAUAUACAGAUGCUGACUCACA